rnacentral:SRP_RNA from 1 species
UCACACUAACCGGGGACAUAGCGGAGCCUUGUACCUGCAAUCCGCUACAGCAGGGGCGAAUUCCCGUCUUGAGGGAUGCUUCUGUGCGGUCCGCAACCUAAAUUUUCCGUGUUGAGAUAUGAGUCUUGCGCAAUUGCAGCUCUCGAACCAUGUCAGGUGGGGAACCAAGCAGCAUUAAGGGAUGUCUUGUGAUGUGCCGCAGGGUAGCUUGUGUUGAGCGGAGUUUGGGAAAUGCGCGCAUAGAGGUUUUUCGAUUUUCGGGUGUGUGA